rnacentral:rRNA from 1 species
GACGAACGCUGGCGGCGUGCUUAACACAUGCAAGUCGAACGAUGAACCGGAGCUUGCUCUGGGGAUUAGUGGCGAACGGGUGAGUACCACGUGGGCAACCUGCCCCAGACACUGGGAUAACCAUUCGAAAGGAUGGCUAAUACCGGAUACGACCACUUCGGGCAUCCGAUGGUGGUGGAAAGGAUUGUGGUUUGGGAUGGGCCCGCGGCCUAUCAGCGUGUUGGUGGGGUAAUGGCCUACCAAGGCGACGACGGGUAGCCGGCCUGAGAGGGCGACCGGCCACACUGGGACUGAGACACGGCCCAGACUCCUACGGGAGGCAGCAGUGGGGAAUAUUGCGCAAUGGGCGAAAGCCUGACGCAGGGACGCCGCGUGAGGGACGAAGGUCUUCGGAUUGUAAACCUCUUUCAGCAGGGAUGAAGCGAAAGUGACAGUACCUGCAGAAGAAGCACCGGCUAACUACGUGCCAGCCGCCGCGGUAAAAC